rnacentral:rRNA from 1 species
GGGGAAUAUUGCGCAAUGGACGAAAGUCUGACGCAGCAACGCCGCGUGAGUGAAGAAGGCCUUCGGGUUGUAAAGCUCUGUCAACAGGGACGAAAAAAUAUGAGACAGCUCAUAUCUUGACGGUACCUGUGGAGGAAGCACCGGCUAACUCUGUGCCAGCAGCCGCGGUAAUACAGAGGGUGCAAGCGUUGCUCGGAAUUAUUGGGCGUAAAGGGGAAGUAGGUUGUCUUGUUUGUCUGGGGUGAAAUCCCUGAGCUUAACUCAGGAAGUGCCUCGGAAACGGCAAGACUAGAGUUCUGGAGAGGGUCGCGGAAUUCCCGGUGUAGCAGUGAAAUGCGUAGAUAUCGGGAGGAACACCAGAGGCGAAAGCGGCGGCCUGGACAGAUACUGACACUCAAUUCCGAAAGCGUGGGGAUCAAAC